CAAUCAAACCGGGAGAUAGCUGGUUCUCCCCGAAAGCUAUUUAGGUAGCGCCUCGUGAAUUCAUCUCCGGGGGUAGAGCACUGUUUCGGCUAGGGGGCCAUCCCGGCUUACCAACCCGAUGCAAACUGCGAAUACCGGAGAAUGUUAUCACGGGAGACACACGGCGGGUGCUAACGUCCGUCGUGAAGAGGGAAACAACCCAGACCGCCAGCUAAGGUCCCAAAGUCAUGGUUAAGUGGGAAACGAUGUGGGAAGGCCCAGACAGCCAGGAUGUUGGCUUAGAAGCAGCCAUCAUUUAAAGAAAGCGUAAUAGCUCACUGGUCGAGUCGGCCUGCGCGGAAGAUGUAACGGGGCUAAACCAUGCACCGAAGCUGCGGCAGCGAACGUAUCACCCAAGACAACUUUACGGAGUUGACGAUUGACGGAGCGAAGCGACGUCAAAGCGUUCAUUAAAGUCGAGUUGGCUUAGGGAUACGUUCGUUGGGUAGGGGAGCGUUCUGUAAGCCUGUGAAGGUGUGUCGUGAGGCAUGCUGGAGGUAUCAGAAGUGCGAAUGC
rnacentral:rRNA from 1 species